UUACUGACGCUAAAGCUCGAAGGUGCGGGUAUCGAACAGGAUUAGAUACCCUGGUAGUCCGCACGGUAAACGAUGGAUGCCCGCUGUUUGCGAUAUACAGUAAGCGGCCAAGAGAAAUCGUUAAGCAUCCCACCUGGGGAGUACGCCGGCAACGGUGAAACUCAAAGGAAUUGACGGGGGCCCGCACAAGCGGAGGAACAUGUGGUUUAAUUCGAUGAUACGCGAGGAACCUUACCCGGGCUUGAACUGCAGCGGAAGGAAACAGAGAUGUUGACGUCCUUCGGGACCGCUGUGGAGGUGCUGCAUGGUUGUCGUCAGCUCGUGCCGUGAGGUGUCGGCUUAAGUGCCAUAACGAGCGCAACCCUUUUCAUCAGUUGCCAUCAGGUGAUGCUGGGCACUCUGUUGAUACUGCCACCGUAAGGUGUGAGGAAGGUGGGGAUGACGUCAAAUCAGCACGGCCCUUACGUCCGGGGCUACACACGUGUUACAAUGGGGCAUACAGAAGGCAGGAUCAUGGCAACAUGUUUCAAAUCUUUAAAGUGCUCCUCAGUUCGGAUUGGGGUCUGCAACCCGACCCCAUGAAGCUGGAUUCGCUAGUAAU
rnacentral:rRNA from 1 species